rnacentral:misc_RNA from 1 species
UUUGCCACCUAAUUGAACAGCUGGUGAAGGCUCUGCACAACAUCCGUGUCCCUUCAUAUAAAUGUCAGCGACAGUUUUGCCCUAAACAUAGCUUGUACAAAUAAACUCAAGCUUGAAAGAUAAGAUGAAGGCUGUGCUAAUUUCCAUUGCCGUCGUGGCUUGUUGUAUGAUUGCUGUCAGGGGCGAGGCCUACGGUAACUAUGGAAACGGACAGUACGUGCAAAAAGGACAUACCAACCAAUACAGCAAGGGUGGAUACGCCAAGGGAUACUCCACAUAUCCGACGUAUUCCGGAUAUUACUCCGGAUAUUCCGGAUACGGGCAAAACCCAGUUGCAAAGAAGGAGAUUAUUUUUGGGGCACCUUUAUUCGCUCCUCCCCCCGCCGCUCCUUUACCAGCCGAUAGUGGUUCCUUAUUCGGCGGUGAUGGGACAAUUUUUCUGUUCCUCCUGUUUCUGCUCCCUAUUCUUCUUAAUGACAACCUCUCUGGUUAAGAACGGGCUGCCCAGUAAGUCAAUGUCUGUCUUAUGUAUCACACACUACGGGAAGAUGAUGCAGGUUUCAUGGGAAUAUUCUUCGGAUUGCUUUUUUUUUUAAUAAUAUGUCAAAUAAAAAAUUAAAUAUUUUUUAAU